UACGAAGGGGGCUAGCGUUGCUCGGAAUCACUGGGCGUAAAGCGCACGUAGGCGGAUCUUUAAGUCAGGGGUGAAAUCCUGGAGCUCAACUCCAGAACUGCCUUUGAUACUGAGGAUCUUGAGUUCGGGAGAGGUGAGUGGAACUGCGAGUGUAGAGGUGAAAUUCGUAGAUAUUCGCAAGAACACCAGUGGCGAAGGCGGCUCACUGGCCCGAUACUGACGCUGAGGCACGAAAGCGUGGGGGAGCAAACAGG
rnacentral:rRNA from 1 species